rnacentral:lncRNA from 1 species
UUUUUUUUUUGUCGUUAUCACCAGACUUCAUGUAAUCACAGCUCUCCACCCCUUCAUCCUAACAUUCAGACAUGGUGCAGAGUAUAGAUGUGAAGUAUGAGUGCCAUAAGCUAUAUGUGGUCUACUCUCUUGAAUUCUUCCUGUUCAUUAUUGGUAUGUGUCAGCUUUCAAAACAUCCUUCUCAGUAUCUCAGCCCAGUUCCCUAAAAGCUGAGGCUUGGAGGGCCCAUACAUACUCCACAGCUUCUUUUAUUAAAUAUACAUCUACUCAUGUAUUUAUUUAUUAGCUCUCAUUUAUUCAGGACCUCUUGUGCAGCACUAUUCAAGUUACUAGUGAUACAGAAUUGAAUAAGCUCUCGAGAAAGUUACCUGCAUUGUGAUGGUAGACAAAAUAAUCCAAUAAAUAUUACAUACUAUGAAGAAAUGUAAAACAAAUAAGGGAGUAAAGGGUGAGAGGCUUGUUUAUAUCAAUCUUGUCAUCUCUUUUCCAAAUGUGGUUAUAUUCUUGAUAUGUGAACAGAAUUGCUGGCACCCUUGCAACAUUCCAAUUAUGAUUGGAAUGCAGAUGAUGGUUGCUGCAUUGACCAGGUUUGCUCAGUAAUUGAGGGAUCUUCUCAAGCAUAUGAGGCUUGAAUAACACUCAGUUAGGAGCUGGCCAUAGAUUGCAUCAUGAAUGCACUCAACAGUAAUCCUCACUGCAUAUUGAUAUUGUCAUGGAUAUUAGAGGUCAUCCAGCAAGGGUGAAAACUGCUAGCGUUGACUCAUUGUCCCGAAUUGUAACAUCAUAUAUAUAUAUCAAUGCAGUCGUUUAUUGUCAGUAUUGCCAAUUCUUAUUAUCAAAAAUUUCAUACAUUGUUAAUAUGAGAACUAGAUAUAUUAGUUAUUCUUCCAAAGUACAUUAGCUUUAGACUCCAAUGCCUCAUAUUUCAGUGGCUUAUUCUCCCUUAUAAAGAAUAUGAGCUUGACUAGGGUGUAUGAACAUCACCUUCAGAUAUUUUAUUCUAUAUAUGGUACAUUUGCUACUUAUGAUAUUAAUGAUUUUCUAUCCAUUUUUAACUAUUUUUUUGGAGUUCCCUCUGUGGCACAGUAGUUUAAAGAUCUACCAUUGUCUCUGUGGUGGCAUGACUUUGAUCUGUGGCCCGUCACAGUGGAUUAAGGAUCUGGCAUUGCUGCAGCUGUGGCAUAGGUCACACCUGUGGCUCAGAUUUGAUCCCUGGCCUAGGAACAUCCAUGUGCUGUUGGUGCAACCAUAAAAAAAUAAAUAAAAAUAAAUUUAAAAACCUAUUUAUUAAGCACUUUCCUGAACCAGAAAAUACUCUUAAGUGUGAAGGAUCAAGGGGUAACAACACAGACCUUGACUUUUCUCCAUUGGAGUCUAUUAGGAAGGAGAGAGUUAGAUUGAAGGAUGACAAACGUUAUGGAGACAACAAAGAGGCAAAGAGUGAUGUUUCCUGCAUGACUGUGGAAACUGAUCUAUGUUUGGGUCAAGCAAGUCUUCUUGGGACAAAUAAUUUUUACCUUUACUAGAGGAAUGAUUAAAAACAAGUCAGUGUUCAGGAAAGGAAGGUGAGAAUAAGCAAUAUGGAUUAAAUCCAUGUGGUGGACACAUGUUUAUGAUGUUUCAGGAAAUAUAAGACCCAUGUACUUGAAGUGUUGAUAUGAGCACAGCAAGUUGCCUUCCAUAGUGAUGGGGAGGUGAGCUGGAGCCACAUCCGGCAAGGUCUAGCAGGAUGGAUAAAGGAGUUUGGAGCGUUUCCUGGUGGGGGCGGGGGUGGGGGGGUAGUUAUCUUAGGGGGCUAAAGAGGCAACAAGAAGACUAGUGUUUUAAAUAAAUUCUUCUGAUUAUUAAAGAGUAAAGAUUAGACUGGAAGUGAUCCAAGACAACUAGUUAGGUGCCUGGUACAGAAGUCAGUUUAAAGAAUAAGGCAGACAGGACUAGAACAAAGGUAUUGACUUUGUGACUGGCAGUCAGAAUCUAAAGAUAGAAGCUGAAACAGUUAGCAAGAUCCAGCAAUUGAUUGGAUGGGGUUCAUGCAAGAAGGUAUGAGGAUAAAACCCAGAUUCCCAAGGAACUGAAAGGAGCAGGGUGAUCUUGAUGAGAAUUGCUACUGACAAGCCCUGAUGAGUGUAGUUCUCCCUGGAGAACUCCCUGGCUACAGUUCUCUACACAUUUGGGCAUCGCUUCCGAUUUCUCAGCUUUAGUUGUCUUCUUGGGAGGGUUCAGAAAGUCAUUGAAAAUCAAGAGGACUGACUUAGGGUCUUAACCAGAGUGCAGUCACUUAGAAAUUUCUCUUGUGGGGAAUUCAUUUGUUCAGAAAUUUCCACCAAAAAUUUGGGUGACCUUACAGAAAGGAAAGCAUUUCUGAGUUCAAGGGGAAAGCUUAGAAAGUCUGUUAUAGGAUACAGGUAGCGUUGGAAAGAAAGAUGUAGCUCUUGUCAAAUUAAUUAAAUGUAGCUCUCCAGUCCUCAGCUAAUGGAAUAUUCAGUGAAUAUCAGGCUUCACUAUCCCUGGAAAACUUGAAACCCUGCUAAUUGGCCUACCUUCUCCUGCUUUCCUGGUGCAUAUUUCCCCCCCCCCCCCCCAAUCUUUCUCCAAAGAAUAAACUGUUAUUAACACCAAAUAUAUUUCUCUGUUCCUUGCAAGCCAUUUUCUACUUCCUAAUUCUAUACAUUUAAAUAACUUUCAGUGCUUAAAUUCCCAAUUUUUUCCAUUAGUCAAUAGGCCAUAGUUUGCUUUUCACAAAAAAUAAAAACCAAAAACCUGCUGCUGAUGUUUCUCUUGUCCUACUACCGAGGAGCUAAAAGUUAAGCCCAUAGAAGCACCACUAGUUAUUCUCUUCCCUUCUUGGGCAUAUACCCGAAUCCCCUACAUAUUUCUCUGCCUUUUUUGUUUCACUUUUAUGGUUUUCAUUUGUUUGUUGUAAGGCUCUGUUCCUCAAAUGUAUUAUCUGUCUAUCCCACUGAUGGCAUAUAAAACAAUGGCUUAAUGGUAUAGAGACUGCAGAAAGGAGUCAUAAAUAUAAGCAUCUAGUUGUUUAAAUCAUGUAAUAGUGUGAAUGACAGGAAAUUUGUAUGAGUCAGUAUUUUAUUCAAAAUGUAUGUACUUGUUCUCACCUAUCAAGCAUAUAGGUUCUGAAUUGCAGUCACCCUCCACUUUCAGAAGGGUGACAGGGCCUUAAAAUCUCUUCAGGGUACCCUCUUUUGGGGGGGGUCCAUUCAUUCUCUUAAAAGAAAAGGAUCACUUUAAUUAGAUUUAACAUCACAAGUCCUGUCCUGGUCGUAUUUGACCCACUUUUCUCUCAGUCCAGCUCUGUGCUUGUAUAUUUUGUUAUCCAUUCAGAAGGCUCUAAUAGCCCAUGUUCUCAAAAAAAAAAAAAAAAAGUUCAUAUGUCUAGAUUAGAUGAAUCCUUGCCAAUCCAUAUCUAAUGCUUUCUAGCAAUGGCGAACAGACUCCCCUCUAACACAAGAAAAUUCAGAAACUUUUAGAAUUUUUACAUCUUAACUUUGACAAGUUCAUAGUCAACCCAGGUGAAGCAUUUAUCUCAGACUUUGAAGCCAAGGGAUAAAUCUGGGCAUCAGUCAAUGUCUGCAGAAAUGUUGUCAUAAAUGUUCCCUAUGCUGCCCCCCCUUUUUUUCAUUUAUAAGUUAAAGUAUUAUUAAGCAGAUGCUAAGGCCACUUCUAGGACUAAUUUUAUGUAUUUCUGUGAUUUUAUUUAAUUCAUGCAUAUUAAAAGAAAAUAGGGAAUUAAUUGUGACAUCUCCAUAAAUACUUUAAAAUUUUCUUGACUUGAAUUCUCACUUCUAAAACUUUGGCUCACUCUUGAUAAUUGAAAAACACAUGCAACCAAACUAUAUUUACUACUUUUCACUGCUCAAGUCAAAAUUUGGGGGCCUUUCCUUUUCAAUACCCGAGAAUAUUGUGUUAAUAAUACCAUUCAGAAGGAUGUAUUUAAGAGUCCAUAUCAGGAACACAGUAUACAUACAAUGUUUCAUACAAUGUCAAUCAAAAAAGUAGCAUCCAAAAUCUAUUACUGCUGGUAUUGUACACUAAAAUGUGGUUUUAUCAUAAUCACUGGGUAUUAAAAUCUUUACCACCUAAAUCUUAUUUUGAUUCAUUUCCAGACUGGUUCUUUUCAUAAGCAGACUUAUUGUGGAGCUGUUUUAUUUUAUGUACUUGUGCAUAGAGGCCAUUUCAUUGCAUUGCACUUCAAGUAGAGGUAUAGAUUAUUGGUUUGAUUGGCUUUAAUAAAAUAUAUUUUACAAUGAAGAGAAAAUAGAAUACUUUUAAAUUUUCUAAAAUAUUUUUCUUUAGAUAUCCACUGACAAUUUUUAAGUUCUCUGGAUGUUCAACAUGCACAAUAUAUGAUCUGAGUAUUGCAACUGAAGAAAAUAGAACAUAAGGAAAUAUCAGUUCUCUUUUUAGCUGGGGGACAUUUAGAGAUUGAUUAAAAAAGAAAGGAAAACUCAAUCCAGUGCCAACAAGACCUUCAGACAACAAUGUCUCCAAAAGUCAAGUGUCAGCCAGCAAAUAGAAACUGCUCCCCUCCCCCCACCACUGCUUUGUAAUCAGAUCUCACCACAUAAUGAAGGAAACAAUACUAUUAUUACUUGCCUGUGAAGUGUCCGCUUUUGAUUUCUCUUGUAAUUUAUCUUCAAUUGAACUGAUAUUGAUUUCGUGGGGAAAACUGCAUAUUCUCCAAGGAGAUUUUUAAAGGACUAAUCUUAGUUUAUGCCUAAUUUUUUUUUUCCCACUGGCUUAUUCUUUCCAGUGAUUUAUCUACCUAAUAACAUUAUAGAUAAAACCUGCUCUUUCAAUUUAUUUCUUCAAGUGUUGUUCAUGUUUGAGCACGCUUUGUCCUUAAUUGCCUGGGGAUUUUUCGAUAGCCCUGUCUUUAGUGAUCUGAAACAAGUUGCAAUAUAAGUAAUUAAGGCACUGAGUAACAGAAGUCUACAAAUUGCUGUUUUGCUUCCAUGUGUGAUAUUUAACUAAUUGCUCAUUGCUGUGAAAACCUUUCACUUCAUAGAUGUCAUGACUUUAAAGUGAAUGAACAUUACCUUUAUAUUUAUUAAAAUAGUGUGGUGUAAUAAUGACUAUGGAAGCUCCCAAGUCUGUUGCAAGACUACCUGCUAGAUAGUUUCACCUCAGACUGUUGAGAUUAUCAUCAAUG